rnacentral:tRNA from 1 species
GCUCCUGUAGCUCAGUAGGAUAGAGCAACGGUUUCCUAAGACGUGUGUCGUGCGUCCGAGUCGCACCAGGGUACCA